rnacentral:rRNA from 1 species
UGCGCCGAGGAACGUGCCCGCGGCCCAUCAGGUCGUUGGCGGGGUAACGGCCCACCAAGCCGGUGACGGGUUGCUGGUCUGUGAGGACGACCAGCCAGACUGGGACUGAGAACGGCCCAGACUCCUACGGGAGGCAGCAGCAAGGAAUUUUCGGCAAUGGGCGCAAGCCUGACCGAGCGACGCCGCGUGGAGGAUGACGGCUUUCGGGUUGUAAACUCCUUUUGGGGGGGAUGAUCAUGACCGUACCCCCCGAAUAAGCCCCGGCUAACUCUGUGCCAGCAGCCGCGGUAAUACAGAGGGGGCAAGCGUUGUCCGGAUUGACUGGGCGUAAAGGGCACGUAGGUGGCGCGUCAAGCCGGGUGUGAAAUCCCACCGCUUAACGGUGGGGCGCCAUUCGGGACUGGCGGGCUCGAGGGAGGCAGAGGUCGGUGGAAUUGCCGGUGUAGUGGUGAAAUGCGUAGAGAUCGGCAGGAACACCAAGGGCGAAAGCAGCCGACUGGGCCUCUUCUGACACUGAGGUGCGACAGCGUGGGGAGCAAACAGGAUUAGAUACCCUGGUAGUCCACGCCGUAAACGAUGCCGGCUCGCCUUGUGGGGGCUAUUGACGCCCCUGGGAGGCUUAGCUCACGCGGUAAGCCGGCCGCCUGGGAACUACGAGCGCAAGCUUAAAACUCAAAGGAAUUGACGAAUCGAAUU